ACGGCACUAAUCCUGUGCUGUGUGUCUCCCCGUGGAUUAGUUUUGUAUUGCCUUUUAUUUUCCAACCAGCAAUAAAGCUGCCGUUUUUGAGUUUCACUCCAGUCUUCCGAGAGUCUGCAUUUUGGGUCCUUUUCCUCGUUCCUGCCUGCACACAGCUGAACUAUGACAUUUAGCACUAUGGGGGCGCUAAUGUACAUCUACGCUGGUUGCCAACCACCAUGAACAUUUAAAGAGCAGAAGAAGAAGAAGAAGACACUAAAGAGUUCAGGUGCACGACAUGAGGAUUUAAUGAGACAGCUUUUAUCUUACUGCUUUCGUGGAAGAUCAGGGGAUGGCGGCAACAAGGCCACGGAGAGCUAAAAUAAAUCCCAGACAAGAUGCUAGGUAUUACUGCUCCUUAGGUGAAGACAAGGCAGGAUUUGAUGUGAGGUAUAUUGAUUCAUUUAAAGGUCGCGGUGUGUUCAGCUGUCGGUCAUUUCAAAAGGGAGAUUUUCUUUUUGAGUACAGAGGACAAAUCAUAACUAAAGAGGAACAAGAAAACCGAAUGAAACUUUACCAUGAUGCACUCAAGGUUUUCAUAUUUGAUUUCAAGUUCAAUGGAAAACAGUUAUGUGUUGAUGCUGCCAGAGAGGACGGCUCACUUGGCAGACUUGUAAAUGACGAUAAUGUGAAUCCAAACAGUAAAAUGACAGUUACCAGAGUGGAUGGAAG